GCCCUCCUGACGGAAUGGUAGACGCACCUGACUCAAAAUCAGGCGGGGAAACUCGUGCCAGUUCGAGUCUGGCGGAGGGCACCA
rnacentral:tRNA from 1 species